AUGGCGCCAGCCGAGGCACCUGCACUCCGUACGGGCUGGCCUGGGUCCGGACUCCAGCUUCCCACACAUGCAGACCCCGGCUGUGCUGGAUUAGCAGGGAGCCCCCAGUCGGCGGAGAGCUUCCCACCACGAGGCCCUGGCCGCCGGCGCGAAGCUUCUCAGAACCGGGGAGAGGGCGUCUCUAGGAGCGGGAAGGGGCUCUGUGGCUCCCUUGUCCAACCACAGGAAACUGGCUCAGAGCAGGCCCAUGGCCCCCAGAGGGCCGGGUCAGCACCAGGACCCCUGACUUCUCGGGGUAGCCCAGAGGGGCCUGUUUUGCACGCGUGGCCAUCUUGGCUCCGCACGCUCGGAGCAGAGCCGCCCGCAGCCCCGGGGUCAGGAAUGACCUCAUCUCCACUUCUCAUCUCCCGGGGGUCCCCCAUCCGUGCCGAGGAGCUGACGAGGGGCCACCUGCGAAGGACGCCCUGGGCCCGGGGCUGCCCUGCGCGGCCCUGUUGCUGCAGGCGGGGCUCCGGCCAGCGUCUGCACCCCGGAGGCUCCUGCUUGGCUCCCUGCAGGCUGCAGCCGCCAAGAGGACGUCCAGGAACAGCCUCGAGUCUCAGGGCACCCAGUGACCGCCCUCGCCCCCCGGACGUGGAGAGAGGGGCGCACCGAGGAAUUAAUGGGCCCAGGCAGGGGUGGGUGGGCUUCGCGUUUGAAGCGGAGGGUGGGGUUAUACGCCGUCCACCUCCCAGCUGUGGCAGCCCGAUAUUUACGUAUGAGAGACAGACUCGACUCACUGACUGCGGACAUGUCACAAUGGCCAGGCCUGGGCUGGGCCGAACCCAGGAGCAGGGAACUCCCUCCAGGUCUCCCACAGGGGUGGCGGGAACCCAGCUACCUGAGCCGUCCCGGCUGCCGCCUGGGGUCUGCGUGUGUGGGAGGCUGGAGUCCAGCCCGUACGGAGUGCAGGUGCCUCGGCCGGCACCAUGGCCGCCAGGUCAAACGCGGGCCUCACCCCCCACAUUAGUAUUUUGGAAAUUCACGUGCAAAACCUGCCUCCUCAUCAAGACCCCCACCCCCGCCUUUGCCCGCCCUCCCCGGCAGGCAGCCUCCCGAUUUGGGUGGGGGGCAGAGCCACGAGCUUGCAUUCUUGCUAAUUCCCCCUCCCGCUGGCGGGCCUGA
rnacentral:lncRNA from 1 species